rnacentral:rRNA from 1 species
UUGGAAGUGAACCAUCUCAGUACCCGCAGGAACAGAAAACAAGUCAGUGAUUCCGCUAGUAGCGGCGAGCGAACGCGGAAGAGCCCAAACCAGGGGGCAUGCUCCCUGGGGUUGUAGGACCUAUCAGGCCGCAAGGCCGCCGAGUGAUCAACCGGAUUGAUAGUCGAACCCUCUGGAAAGUGGGACCAUAGCAGGUGACAGUCCUGUAGGCGAAAUCAAACCGGCUCGGUGGAUAGGCUCCUGAGUACCGCGGGACACGUGAAAUCCCGUGGGAAUCUGCGAGGACCAUCUCGCAAGGCUAAAUACUCGUUAGCGACCGAUAGUGAACCAGUACCGUGAGGGAAAGGUGAAAAGCACCCCUGUGAGGGGAGUGAAAGAGUACCUGAAACCGUAUGCCUACAAGCAGUCGGAGGGCUAUACAGGAGCAAUCCUGCACGCCUGACGACGUGCCUUUUGCAUAAUGAGCCGGCUAGUU